rnacentral:rRNA from 1 species
GACGAACGCUGGCGGCGCGCUUAACACAUGCAAGUCGAACGGAAAGGCCUGCUUUCCCUCGUGGAUUGCGGGUACUCGAGUGGCGAACGGGUGAGUAACACGUGAGUGAUCUGCCCCCAACUUGGGUAUAAGCCUGGGAAACUGGGUCUAAUUCCCGAUAGGACUGCAGGGUGGUGCCUGUGGUGGAAAACGAUUUUCUAGUGGUUGGGGAUGAGCUCGCGGCCUAUCAGCUUGUUGGUGGGGUAAUGGCCUACCAAGGCGGCGACGGGUAGCCGGCCUGAGAGGGUGGACGGCCACAUUGGGACUGAGAUACGGCCCAGACUCCUACGGGAGGCAGCAGUGGGGAAUAUUGCACAAUGGGCGGAAGCCUGAUGCAGCGACGCCGCGUGGGGGAUGACGGCCUUCGGGUUGUAAACUCCUUUCGACCGCGAGGAAGCCACCUGGUUGGAAGGGUGGUGACGGUAGUGGUAGAAGAAGCACCGGCUAACUACGUG